GUCCACGCCAUAAACGAUGAAUACUAGGUGUUGGAGGAUUUAAACCCUUCGGUACCGCAGCUAACGCGUUAAGUAUUCCGCCUGGGAGUACGACCGCAAGGUUAAACUCAAAGGAAUUGACGGGGCCCGCACAAGCAGCGGAGCGUGUGGUUUAAUUCGAUGCAACGCGAAAACCUUACCUGGAUUUGACGUGUACGUAGUAGUGAAGCGAAAGCGGAACGACCCUUCGGGGAGCGUAUGCAGGUGCUGCAUGGCUGUCGU
rnacentral:rRNA from 1 species